GAGCAGAGAGAUUUUAAAAAGCUUAGC
rnacentral:piRNA from 1 species